GCAUUAGUAGCUCAGUUCCUAGAGCGCCGAUCUUGUAAGCCGGAUGUCAGGGGUUAAAAUCCCCUCUACUGCU
rnacentral:tRNA from 1 species